AACAACUAUUUCAUUGUAUUACUAUAAUAAAAUUAUUAGAAAUAAAUUAAAUACAAGAUAAUAAUUUGAACCACCGGUCUGGGAUGGGUGGGCCUUCAUAAAAUAGGGUGGGCAAAACGAAAAGCACUAUGAAUGCUGCACGCGAAACUAAAUGAAUUAAAUUAACAAAAAACAACGCAGCAUGUUUCAGAACACAACAGCCCAACUAUGAGAAACACAAAAUGUGUUUCUUUUUUUUAAGUUUACAUGUCCUCCUUCAAUGUUAGUCUGAGACGACGGGGCUUCUGGUUGAAAGUAUCCCAAAAUCCAAUGGCCCUUUCUUUUACAAGUCCUCCAUGCAAGUAUCCACAAGUCAAACCCAGGCGCACGCGCAGCUUCUCCUCUGCUUCCCAGAGAUAGCAAUCACCACGAUCCCCAUCCGAUUACUUUAAAAAAGUCGCUGUGUGUGUUGCUGAGUUGAACUUGGAGGCAGCUGAAGGAGAGAAUGUUACCGUAUCCUUCAAAACUGCUGGACUGGAGAGAGCGGAUCAAGUGAAGAUAACUUUGACAAGAGGACGUCAGAAGAAGCUGAUAGCGCAGUACUGUUGCUGUGUCCAUCGUGGAGACUGUGAUGUUGUGGAAACAGCAGGAGUCUUACUGAGAGUUGAAGAAGGAACCUUCUCUCUUCUGAGUGUCCGCUCCAAUAACACAGGCCUCUAUGGAGUAAUAAUCCUCACAGGAAGUAAUGUCUCGGAGAAGAAAGUUACACUUGUUGUCAACAAACCACUUUACUCGAGUAGACGUCCACCCCGUGCCUUCACCCCAAAACCUCACAACUUCUCUGAACACCGAUGGCUAUAUGCAGCAAUAAUAAUAAUAAUUCUAGGGUUUGUCAGCUGUGGGGUUGUUUGUUGCUUCAGGAAACGCAAGAGGGCAGGUAUCACAUACAUUUAUGCUUGUAUUGAUGAACAUGAGCGCUGCAGUUUUAAUUAUCUGUUAAACCAGGGGUCUCAAUUUAUUUCAUUCGAGAGCUAAGUAUCUGAGAGCUUCACGUGUUGUACAAAACUUAAUGCAUCAAUCCAAACUGUUAUACACGUCAUUGUUAAAAUGUGCUGGAAAUGUGUUGAUACACAUACUGAAAUCAUUUCACAUUUCAAGUUAUAUGUCGAAAAACCAACAAAUAGGAAGAAAGAAGCACUGCGCAUUACAUACAUAAUCAUACAUUAGAGAGUAAUAGAGUUAUGAGUAAUAGAAUUAGAUAAUGGUAAAUGGAUUCACUUUGAUUGUCUGCAGUUUUUGUUUGUUUGGGGCUUUUUGGCACCAGAAAAUAAAAAAAAGAUUAGCUACAGUUCAUUUUUGGAGCAAGUGGAUAAAAAUGAAUUCAAGUUUAUUAUAAAACUCAAACCAGGAGCAGAAUGAUUGCAGCUUGAGGACAGUGUGGUGCAGUUAAAUGUGUUUAUUACUAAAUUAUUUGCUUGUUUUUAAAUGUUUACACUAAGGUGAAAGAAUGUGGUUUACAUGUAUUAAAUAAAAAGUGUGCAUUAUGUAGUUUUGACCACAGACCUUUUUUAUUUGAUUUGUCUCUUGUAAUUGUGUUAUUUGUGCUGAUUGUCAGGAAUGUGAGUCAGCAGCUUGAAGAAGCCAAAGAAACCCCUGCUGUCUCCAGACCCAUGAAAUAAUUUGGGGGGAAAAACAGUACUUAAGCAGAAGUCCCCCUUUAAGGCUUGUAGAGAAGACAGUAAAGAUCAGCUCAUGGAUUUUAAAACACCAAAUAUUAAAGAUGCACUAAUAACCAGUUAUUCGUAAUGACAUCUGAUGGUACAAACAGGUCUGUGGAUGAUGCAGUCAACAUGGGAGAAUAACCAGAACUGACCCGAGUAUAUUUUUCUAUCUCAGUUCAUUUCAUUCAGCACUAUUUAGCUCUGUCCAGUGCUAAAACUGUCAUGAGUCCUUUGAGAUACUGCAUUUGUAACUUUCCUAAGCUGUAAGUUAUAACCAUCAGAAUUAAAACAACUCUUGAAAUA